GACCAGGUGAUGAAUUACAUUUUGAUAUCUCACGAUGGUCGUCUGAGACUUUGUGUCGAUGUUGAUCCAAUCUUACUGAUGGUC